AUGAAUGAGAAUCUUUCCAAAGCUUAUACUGUGGAAGAGGUGAAAAUUGUGUUAUUCCAGAUGGCUCCUUCAAAGGCGCCUGGUGUGGAUGGUUUCACUGCUGGAUUCUUUCAGCGUCAUUGGGAAGUUCUCAGAGCAGAUAUUUCCCAAGUUGUCCUUGAUUUCCUCAAUGGGGGCAAGCUACCUAGUGGUCUUAAUGACACAGCCAUUACACUCAUCCCAAAGGUGUGUAACCCCCAGAAGAUUUCUCAAUACCGACCAAUAUCUCUUUGUCCAGUACUGUAUAAGAUUGCGGCGAAGGUAAUCACAAACAGGCUACGAGGCAUAAUGGACGAGAUCAUAGGUGCGGAACAAAGCGCCUUUGUACUGGGACAUUUAAUAACGGACAACAUUUUGGUGGCAUAUGAGAGUGUGCAUACAAUGAAGAAGAAAAAAUACAAGAACGCCUUUUGUGCAGUCAAACUUGAUAUGUUAAAGGCCUAUGACCGAGUUGAGUGGCAUUAUCUCGAGGCCAUGUUAACUAGAUUGGGUUUCUAUGACAAUUUUGUGAGGCUUAUUAUGAAGUGCGUCACCUCUGUACGGUUUGUAGUCAAGGUCAAUGGAUCCCUCCUUCCUUUCUUCACACCAACUAGGGGACUGCGCCAAGGUGAUCCUGCAUCACCCUUCCUCUUUCUCAUAUGUGCGGAAGGUUUCACUUCAUUGAUGAAUUAUCAUGGUGGAGCACAUGUGGAUCGAGGUAUUCGGGUGAGUUUUCAGUCACCGUGGAUUAAUCAUUUGCUUUUUGCCAAUGACAAUUUGAUCUUUAUGAAAGCAGAAAGGCAAAGUGCACGUAGAUUAAAUGAUGUUCUAUGGAUUUAUGCUUCUUGUUCUGGACAAGCGGUGAACCGGGAGAAGAGUUCUAUUUAUUUCAGUCCUAAUGCAUCACAGCCACUAAGGACAGAAGUUAAGCAAAUUCUGGGAAUUUUCGUUGAAGCUUUUACCGAGCGGUACCUCGGCCUUCCUACUGCAGUAGGACGGAUCACCAGCGGCACUUUUAACCAUAUUAGGGAGAGAAGCCGCGGUAAAAUGCAAGGAUGGUCGGAGCGUGGAAUGGCAUGUGCAGCACGGGAAGUCCUUUUAAAAUCAAUUUUACAAGACAUUCCAACGUUCAGUAUGAGUUGUUUCCUCUUGACAAAGAAGAUUUGCAAACAAUUGACGUCAAGCAUGGCCAAGUUUUGGUGGAGCAGCUCCAUCGACAAGCAAUCUCUACAC
rnacentral:rRNA from 1 species